UUGUGAAAAAGGGAUCUAUUAAUUUCGGUUUCUCUUUUUAUAGCUUUCCAAAGAGAGGGUAAGACGUUACAAGAACGAUCUUUGCCUUAUAACAUACCCUUCUUUUAAAAAUGUUUAUGAACGUCAAAAAAAUGUAGGCUCGCCUUAAAAACGUGUAGCUGAAAUUAUAAAAUUAUACAACUUUUAACAACGGAUCUCUUGGCUCUCGCAUCGAUGAAGAACGCAGCGAAAUGCGAUAAGUAAUGUGAAUUGCAGAAUUCAGUGAAUCAUCGAAUCUUUGAACGCACCUUGCGCUCCCUGGUAUUCCGGGGAGCAUGCCUGUUUGAGUGUCAUUAAAUUCUCAACUUUGAAUCGUUUGUUUACAGACUUUACGAGGCUUGGACUUUGGAGUGUGCCGGUCUCUAACGAGAUCGACUCCUCUUUAAAUGCAUUAGCUGGAACCUCUUGUGGACCAGACUACGGUGUGAUAAUCAUCUACGCUGUUGGUCUUGUGAAGCACUUUA
rnacentral:rRNA from 1 species